rnacentral:rRNA from 1 species
UACAGAGGGUGCGAGCGUUGUCCGGAAUUACUGGGCGUAAAGGGCUCGUAGGCGGGCGAUCAAGUCAGGGGUGAAAGCCCCCGGCUCAACUGGGGAGGGUCAUUCGAUACUGAUCGACUCGAAGGCAGGAGAGGGAAGUGGAAUUCCCGGUGUAGUGGUGAAAUGCGUAGAUAUCGGGAGGAACACCAGUGGCGAAGGCGACUUCCUGGCCUGUUCUUGACGCUGAGGCGGCGAAAAGCUAGGGGAGCAAACGGGG